rnacentral:tRNA from 1 species
GCCGCUGUAGCUCAGUUGGCAGAGCACCUCACUUGUAAUGAGGCUGUCGGGAGUUCGACUCUCCCCAGCGGCU